UAAAGUGGCGCACGGGUGAGUAACACGUAAGUAAUCUACCUUCGAGUGGGGAAUAACAUCGGGAAACCGAUGCUAAUACCGCAUAAUGCAGCGGCAUCGCAAGAUGACAGUUGUUAAAGGAGCAAUCCGCUUGAAGAGGAGCUUGCGGCAGAUUAGCUAGUUGGUAAGGUAAUGGCUUACCAAGGCUACGAUCUGUAUCCGGCCUGAGAGGGCGGUCGGACACACUGACCCUGAAUAACG
rnacentral:rRNA from 14 species